rnacentral:rRNA from 1 species
CUACGGGAGGCACCAGUGAGGAAUAUUGGACAAUGGGCGAAAGCCUGAUCCAGCGACGCCGCGUGGGUGAAGAAGGCCUUCGGGUUGUAAAGCCCUGUCAGAGGGGACGAAAUUUGACGGUACCCUCAGAGGAAGCACUGGCUAACUCCGUGCCAGCAGCCGCGGUAAUACGGAGAGUGCAAGCGUUGCUCGGAAUAACUGGGCGUAAAGGGCACGUAGGCGGCCUGGUAAGUUGGAUGUGAAAUCCCGCGGCUCAACUGCGGAACUGCAUUCAAUACUGCUAGGCUAGAGUACGGAAGAGGAAGGCGGAAUUCCCAGUGUAGGGGUGAAAUCCGUAGAUAUUGGGAAGAACACCAGUGGCGAAGGCGGCCUUCUGGUACGAUACUGACGCUGAGGUGCGAAAGCGUGGGGAGCAAACAGGAUUAGAUACCCCCGUAGUC